CGCACCUUGCACCUCUUGGUAUUCCGAGAGGUACAUCUGUUUGAGUGUCAUGAAACCCUCAACCUCUACCCUUUCUUGUAAAGAGUAGCAGCGUUGGAUGUUGAGCGUUGCUGUGUUCGCAGCUCGCUUCAAAUGUAUAAGCAAUCUUUGUACUGCUCGGAUUGACUCGACGUGAUAAGAUUUUCGUCGAGGAUGCUUCUACAGCAGCCGAAUCGUACAAAGUCGCUACCAAACCUGCACUUGUGCAACACCCUGAUUUUAGACCUCAAAUCAGAUGGGACUACCCGCUGAACUUAA
rnacentral:misc_RNA from 1 species